GGGCAGGUUGGCUAGUGGUUAGCACGUUUGCCUCGCACCUCUGAGGUCGGGGGGUUCAAGUCCCACCCCUGCCCU